ACCUGGCUGGCUCAGUUGGUAGAGUGUGCAACUCUUGAUCUCAGGGUUGUGAGUUCAAGCCUCACGUUGGGUG
rfam:Felis catus isolate Cinnamon breed Abyssinian chromosome B1, whole genome shotgun sequence.